rnacentral:rRNA from 1 species
CCUACGGGUGGCAGCAGUGGGGAAUAUUGGACAAUGGGCGAAAGCCUGAUCCAGCCAUGCCGCGUGUGUGAAGAAGGCCUUCGGGUUGUAAAGCACUUUCAGUGGGGAAGAAAGCCUUGGGGCUAAUACCCUCGAGGAAGGACAUCACCCACAGAAGAAGCACCGGCUAACUCCGUGCCAGCAGCCGCGGUAAUACGGAGGGUGCGAGCGUUAAUCGGAAUUACUGGGCGUAAAGCGCGCGUAGGCGGUCUGAUAAGCCGGUUGUGAAAGCCCCGGGCUCAACCUGGGAACGGCAUCCGGAACGGUCAGGCUAGAGUGCAGGAGAGGAAGGUAGAAUUCCCGGUGUAGCGGUGAAAUGCGUAGAGAUCGGGAGGAAUACCAGUGGCGAAGGCGGCCUUCUGGACUGACACUGACGCUGAGGUGCGAAAGCGUGGGUAGCAAACAGGAUUAGAUACCCCAGUCGUC